UCCGUAGGUGAACCUGCGGAGGGAUCAUUACAGAGUUCGUGCCCUAACGGGUAGAUCUCCCACCCUGUGUUAUUAUUACCAUGUUGCUUUGGCGGGACGUAGAGGCUCGCCCUCUCCACCGGCUUCGGCUGGUGUGUGACCGCCAGAGGACCCAAAACCCUGAAUAUUAGUGUCGUCUGAGUACUAUAUAAUAGUUAAAACUUUCAACAACGGAUCUCUUGGUUCUGGCAUCGAUGAAGAACGCAGCGAAAUGCGAUAAGUAAUGUGAAUUGCAGAAUUCAGUGAAUCAUCGAAUCUUUGAACGCACAUUGCGCCCCUUGGUAUUCCGGGGGGCAUGCCUGUUCGAGCGUCAUUACAACCCUCAAGCUCGGCUUGGUAUUGGGCUCUCGCCGUUCACGCGGCGGGCCUUAAAAUCAGUGGCGGUGCCGUCGUGGCCCUGAGCGCAGUAAAUAUCCUCGCUAUAGGGACCCGGUGGUUACUGGCCAGCAACCCCCAACUUUCUAAGUUUGACCUCGGAUCAGGUAGGGAUACCCGCUGAACUUAAGCAUAUCAAUAAGCGGAGGA
rnacentral:rRNA from 1 species